ensembl:lncRNA
GUUUUUAGCACACGUCUGCAUGAGCACUUUAUGUAGAAUGUUUGUAGAUCUUAUUUAGUUCCAUGUUGUCUAAUGUGCUGUUGUUUCAUUUCACUGUGUACUGUACCAAAUAUAUACGGUUGACUACAAAACCACUUGAACUUGUUUUGUGAGCAGAGCCCUCCUGCUAUAAAAGCUUCUUGCUUUCGCUUUUGCUCAGAAACAGAAGUGACGACCAACAGAACAAAAGGCAUCAUCAUGGGACACCUGGAUGAUUGGAUUCGGAUAUAAUCCGAAGGGCUUCAGUAUUGUCAAACACUUUGAUGAUGAAUACAAUGGAAAUUCAGACCUUGGGGAUCUCUUUACUGUGGAAAGUGGAACAUGGUACAAAACGAUCUUACAUGCUGGAGUGUGCUGCGAUGAAGAUGAGAUAAUUCAUUUCACACAAUCAAAUUCUCGAUCACGUGGCUCUGUAUCAAGUUCCUCUGGAACUGUAAGGAAUCUGUGUAGCUCAUCUACCAGCUCUUCCAGCAACUCUUCUAGUUCUUCUUCCAGUCCAUCUUCCAGUUCUUGUCCAGGGAUUGUAAGCAAAGUGAAUGUGAAUGGGUUUUCUGGAGGAUUUAAAUUUGCAAUUUAUAGGAAGAAUGGUGGAAUCCCUGAAUCAUUUAGACAGAAUGUUAAAAAUGCAAUGAGGAAAAAUCCACAAUAUGAUCUUCUUACAUACAACUGUAUUCAUUUCGCCAUGGAGCUUCUUAGUGUACAGGGAAAGGAGGGUCCUUAAACAGUUUCAUCUUUCAGAUAAAAAGCUUCAUGGAAGACGUUGCUGUUGGACAGACAGACAAGCCUCUGAUGAUGGAAGAAGUAGAUUUCAUUCUGUUGUAUAUUUAAUUGAUUUUCUUCAACAGUACUGUACUUUACUCUGAUGUAAAAAAAAUAAUAAAAAAAUAAAAAUUGUUCUUCACUCGAGAAAAGUUUUAAUGUCUGAUUAGACCAAAACAAGGGUGUUAAUACAAUUUUUUUUUAGAAAACCCUAGUAUGUAUAGCUGUUUGUAUUAGUCUGUACUGUCUGUAGAUUAUGAAUUGGGAGUUAUUGUUAAUUAAUUACCGUAGUUAAGAACCAGAUGAUUAUUUAGUUUUGUUUAGUCAAGAUUGAGUAACAAGUCAGCUCAUUUUAGCUCAUUUCUGUGACUCUUAAUUAAAAAUCUAAAUCAACAAUCCAUGUUCAAUUCCAUGUAAAAAUCAAUGUAAGAGCCAUUGAUCAAUAAAUAAAAAUGUUUUAAAAAUCAAUGGCAACUUGUAAUUCCCUGCCUACAACUAUACAAAAAAAACAAAAGAACAAAAAAAACUCGUUAACUUGGGGUAGUCUUUUCAAGUUUCAGCUUCUUCCUCAUUUACAGAGAGAAGUCAAAACAAUAUGGCCACUAACACUGUGAACAGUGUAAAAUCUUCC